rnacentral:lncRNA from 1 species
UUACUUUUCUAUCUAUAUUAACGGCGCCUAUUUAUCACAGCAAUACCAACCUUCAUUUUCAUAUCUCAUAUCAAAAUUCCGUAUGGGAUCAAUGAAAGAGCAAAAUUGUUUUUGGGCUAUACUAUAUUCAUCUUUCAUGAAAGAGACUCCUCAGACCCUACAUUUUGUUCAGCCCCGUUUUCAGGUAUAUUUAGACAAAUAUUUUCCUUCUACUUUUUUCAUUGGUAAUUUUGUGGGCGUAUUGACGACAUUCAUGAAUUGAAUCACUGGAUAAAAAUUAGAUGUUGAUGGAUAUUAACUUGAUUUUUAGUUGAAAUGGCAAUAGAUAAAAUAUGGUACCCUUUUUGGUUUCUUCCAUUUUUUGAGGAUUCUAAUUGCAACCAUAGGUCCUUCAAAUGCUUUUAGAAUCUAUGCCCCUUUACUUGGUCAAAUAUUUUAGUCAGUUGAUAAUUUAUGGCAGUGCCUAUAUUUUAAAACUUUGAAAGUCAUUGUAGGGGAGAUUCUUCUUCUGCUACGAGUUAUAGUAAAGGGAAGAUAAAAAGAUUUAUCUUGCAGAGAACGUCAGUCAAUGGUACAUGCUUAGAUUAAGCUAGUGCGUUGAAUUAAAUUAACAAACUCUUACAUGUAUCCUUUCCUCUAGCCAACAAGUUCUGGAAACUCAGUUCUCACAGAUAUAGGGAUUCUUGCCCCGUGCACUCCGUCAGUCCAAAUUAAACUCCCGAAAUAAUAGUCCGUGGUGUAUUUGUGAGUGGUUGAAAUGGUGAGAGUGAAUGAGAUUUUCUUGGUCUUGGAGUUGAAUAUCAAAGUCUCAGGCUUUACUUUUAUGGUAAUGCCCUGUGGAGGCUCAAUGAUGGCCUUAUAUUUGGAGUUCACUGGUCCUACGUUGGUGACUGUUCUUCUUAUAGUAACUGUUCUCCUGAGACUUGGUACUGUUAAAGAAGGAAGAUUGACAUCAAGAAUUGAAGGCCUCUUGAUUGGACAAGAUGCAGCUUGAUCAAUGAGCACACUGAUGGCACUAUUGUUAUAGCCCAUUGAGCACAAAUAAAGAAUGUAGUCAAAUGUUCCCAUGUCAUAGACUAGGCCGGGAUCUUUUGCACCAUUUGCGUUCACGACUCCACCUCCAAAAUCAAAUGGAUCAGCAAUCUUGUUUGGAUUUCCCUCAGCUACAAUUGGUUCCCCAGAAUGAGGGUCCGUUGGCCAUGCUGCGUGCACAUUAAUUAAUUCAAACAUUAGAAUUUCCAAGACAAAUUAUUCGGAAAUUGUUGGAGAAAUGGAAUUUUUGGGAAGACCUGUUGUAACGAGUGCAGACUUUAUAGCAGCUGGAGACCAAUGUGGGUGUAGGGACUUGAGUAAGGCGACAAUGCCAGACACGUGAGGUGCUGCCAUGGACGUUCCUGAUUCAAAUUCGUAUGAAGUUUCUGAUGCAGGAAUAGCAGCUAAUAUAUCGACUCCUGGAGCUGCUAUAUCUGGCUGUAACAUCAGAUGCUAAUUUAGAAACGUGAUGCAAUGUUAGAAUUAAUGAGUGCUACAUAGUGUGCAAGUAUAAAGUCAUACCUUAAGUAUGGCAGGGGCAACAGAAUUGGGACCUCGGGAUGAGAAGGACGCAAUAUGUGUUGAAACAGGUUUCCCAACAUGAGUUUGGGUAGGACUUAGCUUUACUUGUGGUUUUCUGAAUCAUUUUUUAACAAGAAUUUAAGCACCAAGCGAAGUGAUUUAAGAUUCCUCUAUAACAUUAAAGAAUCAGAUGUUUUAUGUACCUGGAAUAUCUGAUGUAAUCGAGUAAUUGAGCUCCAACGUCAAUACUUACUCCUAUACUAGGAAAGUCGGACGCGAAAUAAUACAGGGUUCUGGUUGGGUUCUUAGCAACAAUCAAUCCCAAGCCUCCAACAUACUGGACGACUUGUCUAGUUGAUGGCAAAUCUAAUUCAUCCCCUUUACCAAGGAAGCAAAGCACUACUUUUCCAGCCGCCCACGUAUCAUUUGUAUUCAAGUUGUUGCAAAAGCUUCAAAAUCCAUGAAUUCGUGCUAUUUUAGCUUGCAACAAUAAAGUUAUAAAUGACCCCUUUGAAGACACAGAAUUGACUGUCGAAGAUGGCAAAAAUUAACAAGAAAACUAGGGCUGGUUAAUUUGGAUAUUUGUUGGAGACUUAUAGUAGCUUAUAAGGAACAUACCGUUUAUCUUUAAGAUCGGAGCUUUCUGGAUGUGCGAUGCUGAUAAAACCAGUCUCCUUUCCGGUAUAAAGUGAUUGACCCUACAGAAAAUAAUGUUAGUCAAAACAAAUUAAUUGCAGAAUUCUUUUAAGAUGUUUGUUUUAUUUUUAUUUUUAAGUAUGGCACCUUUAACUAAGAGAACUUACAGCAAAAGUCCAGUUGUUCCCUAAUGUAAUGAGUGUGGGAAAGGACCUAUCAAUACUAGAAGCUGCCACCGUAAGGAUCCAUGGUGAUGUAUUCUCUACAGUUUGAGGAUAUGGUCCUUCGUUUCCUCCCGAACAAACAACUGUAAUUCCCUUUAAAACGGCAUGGAAGGAUGCCAAAGCAAUGCCAUUGCGCAUAUCAACAUCAGCGUAAUGAGGUAUUUCUGAGCCAAUGGAUAGAGAUAAAAUAUCAACUCCAUCAUGAAUUGCCUCAUCUAUAGCCAUCAUUAUAUCAGAAAAGGCACAUCCCCCUUGGAGCCAAUUCCAGCACACCUUGUACAUAGCAAUCCGAGCCUUGGGUGCACCACCCCUAACUGUACCAUAAGCAAGUCCAUAGUAACUUGCAUUUGGUGCAAAUGAGCCACCAGCAGUGCUUGAUGUGUGCGUGCCAUGCCCAUCUCUAUCUCUUGGGGACGCUAGCUCAUAAUUUAGAAAAUCAGGAUCCUUGAUUGCUGGCCGUCCAAGUUCUGUUUCAAAUCCCUUUAAAAAGUACUUUGCUCCAAUUAGUUUCCUGUUACAUGCCUUAGCUGGAUCGUAUUUUGUACCAGACUGACAAUGGCCCUUCCAUCUUGAAGGGAUUGGCCCCAGGCCUUUGUCAUUGAAUGCUUCACUUUCUGGCCAGAUUCCUAUAUUUUUGAUGAGUAGGUACUUCAGAAUUUUAAAAACAUAACAAGUAAUUUUAUACUGCAUUUAGUAUUUCUACCAAGACUCUGCAGUAAUCUUUCUUUGUACUAGAAAUUCCCAUCUUUGUGAAUGCAUCAGCAGAAGAGAAAAACCUGUAUCAAGGACACCAAUGAUGACGCCAUCUCCCAUGUUGGCUUGAUGAAGGAGGUUUGUUGGAGGAGAAGAUGUGGACAGGCCAAGGUAAUCCCAACUUCUUGUUGUGUGCAAUUUGUACAAAUGAUUAGGAACCACAUGGACCACAUCAGGUAACUCUGCAACAAAUUUAGUAAGGGGAUAGCAUGGAAGUAUCAGGCGAUCCCAACUGAACCAUAGUGUUAAGCUUUUAAGUUUUAUGCCCAAAUUUUGACCAACCAUAGUGUUAAGCUUUUAAGUAUGUCAUUUUCCAACUUUUUUCAAAGUCCUACUUUACUAGCUAGAGGGACUGGGCGAGAGGGAUUGCAAAGUACUACUAAUUCUAAAUUUACCUGCAAUCCUUUUGGCUUGAGGUUUUGUUAACAUGGCUGCAAAGCCGGAGAAACCAUGUUUGUAACUGUAGAUGAUUGAAUCUCUCGCAGCUUCUUGACUGCAUCAGGAGAAACACAUAAAGUUGUGAACUACUUAAGUAGUCUGCACAAAUUAAUUCUGAGUCUCAAUUGUAGAGGAGAGAAAAAAUAACCAAUUUCUUGAUCUUUCUUCAGUUACCUUCCAAGUACUGAAGUAAGUAUUUGGUGGUGAGCUGAUGUCGCGAGUUCAACAUCAUCGUGUUGCCUUCUUCCCAUGUAAACGAUAUGAACCUACAAUUAACAACCAUUUCUGAUACUAUAAGUUUCACAGUGAGACAAAUAAUGAACUUCCUGAGUUGUCCUUACAAUAUAAACAUAUAUAUAAGAAAUUGCAAAUUAGGUGGGAUUUAUAUAUCUAUUCUACUCACUUUGCUUUCAGCAUUCGCUUGAAUUCCUAAAAGUUCCGGCAGGUUCAAGAAAAGGAGUAGAGCAGCGAAAGCCAAUUUAUAUUGAAGAAAGUGGCUGAUGCUCAUUUUGUGCUAUGUCAAUGGUAUACAGGACUAGUUAAAAAGAGUGAUAACAUUUGCUGUUAAUAUUCAGUUCUUCUUCACCAUUUAUAGCCUUGGAGUAACUAGUGAAGUUGCUGUGAUGUGACCAGGAGGUCAUGGAUUCAAGCCUUGGAAACAACUUCUAGCAGAAAAUGCAAGAUAAACUGCAUACAAUACACCUUUGUUAUAGAGCCCUUUCCAGAACCCUGUGCAUAGCAGGAGCUUUAGUGCACUGACUGCCUUUUUUUUCCUUCACGAUUUAUAGCAAUUUGAUAGCCGAAAAUCGUGCAAUUAAGGAUCUGAUCAUGAUGUCUUCUUCUUGGUGCCACUAUUAAAAAGAUGCAUCAUGUAAAGUUAGCUUAAUUAUUGGCUAUUGGCUUGACCAAGAACAAAAGCUAAAAAGCACGCAACACAAAUGGCCAGGUUCUGGUAAUAUAAUACGUGCAAUAAAUUAUAGGAGUAAGGUGAGAUUGAAGAAUAUGCUGAUUGCUGAUUAUGAAACGCAAAUUAUGUGUGGAAUGUAAUCAUGUUAGAAUUAUAUGUAAUACUUGCUAGUAUUUGUUACAGAAUAAUGUAUUCAUUCAGAAAUAAUAUUGUAUAUAGUUAUACAAUAUAUAAUAGACAUAAUGCAUAAAUAUAACCCUAAGUUUGACAUUAAAUUAUAACAUUAACCUUAAACUUUGACAGUGUACAAGUAGGCCAUUUAACUAUACAAAAUCUGAACAAAUAAAUACUACAAUCCUACGGGGCAAGAUGCGUGUAUACACUCAAAAUCACGCAUGUCGAAAUUAGAAUUGAAGAAUUUUUUUUGUUCAGCUUUUAUAUAGUUAAAGAGCCUACUUGUGCACAGGCAAAGUUAAGGGUCAUAUAGUAUCUUUUUUAUUCGGUGGCAGCAACUGAGUGGAUGAUUAAUCCACGUAGGCGCAAGUGAGGUACACACGCGUAAGUUGCAAAAUUAGAGUGUUUAUUUGUUCAGGUUUUGUAUAGUUAAAGGGCCUACUUGUGCACUGUCAAAGUUUAAGGUCAAUGUUAUAAUUUGAUAUCAAAUUUAGGGUCAUAUUUAUGUAUUAUGCCUAUAAUAGUUGUCGAGACAUUCUUAGAAUUUAGUUAUCAUAGUUAGAAUUCUUUUCUCAUGUAUUUAACACUUUGUUUGGAUGGUGGUUUGUCAUGAUUUUAUAAUGUACGGUAUUAUAUGAUAUAAUAUAGUAUUGUAAUAGUUAGAAUUCUUUUCUCAUGUAUUUAACACUUUGUUUGGAUGGUGGUUUGUCAUGAUUUCAUAAUGUACGGUACCGUAUAAUAUAAUAUAGUAUUGUACAAUAUAAUGUUUGAAUAGACUAUAUCGUUCACUGCUGUUUAAUGACAGUUUUAUUAUUUGGUUUGAUUGUAUUGUAAGUGGUAAGUUUAAUAAAAUGCCCUUAAUUAUUAUAAAUGUUAAACUAAUCAAUAAUUAUUAAUAAAAUAAUUUUUUUCCUACUAAUUUAUCAUAAUUAUGCCAUGUAGAUAUAUUAAGUUGUUAAAUUCAUGUAAAUUCUAAUAAAGUCAAUAAAAUAGUAGAUCAAAUAAAUAUAAUCGGAUUUAUUUUUUAUAGUAACAAAUUUAAUUUUUUUUGGUGUUUUGAGACGUCACUUCAUCGAUAAGUACAAAGUUUAAAUGUAUUUUUUUAUCUAUGCUACGGAUGUGUUCGGUAUGAAAUUCCCCCCCCCCCCCCAAAAAAAAAAUAAAAAAAUUCAAGAAAAUAAAUUAUUUAUUAUUUCUUGUGUUUGUAACACAAUUAGAUUUUUUUAAAAAAGUAUUUGUAUAUAUUAAACACAAACUAAUGAAAACGAAUAUGAUAAAGGGUGGCGGGUUAAAAAAUAUUUGAAGGGGGUAGUGGAGUAGGGGGUCGGGAUAGGGGUGGGUUGGGGAUGAUGGUCGGGUAAAAACAGAUUUUUAAAAAUAUAUUUUUUUUUUAAAUAAAAAAAAUGGGUGGAGGUUGGUGGAGGUGGGGUCGGGUUGAGGUGGGAGGUCGAAAUAGGAGGUGGAGUUAAAUAAUAUAAGGUGAAGAGAAAAAUAAGAUUAUAUAAUAUUAAUUAAGGACGUAAUUGAAAAAAAAAAAUCAUGGGAUACCACCAAAUCAGUGAUUACAUAAAAUGGAGGUUUUUAUGGUUAUCAAAUCAUGAAAUUAAACCAUAACAUAUUAUACAUUUUAAGAAAUAAUUAAAACAAAUAUGAUUCUCUUAAUAACUAUAUCAUGCCAUAUCAUGAAAACCACCAUCCAAACAGAGGGUAAGUCACCAAUUAUCUUAAUGAUAAAUAUAGAAUUUCCUUCAUUACCUUGUUAUUUUAUUACAGUAUUAAACAGUGAAAAUGCCACCACCUAAUUAGUAUUGGUGUCAUUUCCAUUAAUUUUACAGCUGCAAUUCGUGACUGGUGCAAAUAGCUUAUUAAAGCGACUACAGAUUUUCUUUUUAUUUCAGAAUAUUGCCUCAUUUCUUAACAUCACUAUCUUUUAGGGUUAAUUAUCCUUUGUGUUUCAUAAAGAUGAAGUAGGACCAAAUUAUCAAGAAGUCACAAUUUUUUUAAUCGGGCUUAAAGUCAUGAGUGUUUAAGCUUAAUUUUCUUAGUGGGCAAUAUUGACUUUGUGAAAACAAAAGUACGUCUAUACAAGUAAAAAAAAAUGACAGUCUGGUGCACUAAAGCUAUCGCUAUGCGUGUUGUCCGGGGAAGGGCUCCACCACAAGAGUGUAUCGUACGCAGUUUUACCUUGCAUUUCUGCUAGAGACUGUUUCCAAGGUUUGAAUCCGUGACCUCUUGAUCACAUGACAACAACUUUAUCAGUUGCUCUAAGCCCUUCAAAAGUAGAAAUAUACAUGUAAAGAUUAAAAAAAUGUCCAAUAAAGUCCAUUAAAAGGAAAUCGUAUGAUUGUAGUCUGAUUUUGCCUUUUAAAUUCAGCAUCUGCCCUACCAAUUUAACAAUUUUUUUUUUUCAGGGAUUGCCUUAUUUGGGGGUGGUUUUAAAUUUUUGCCCUCAAAUAUGAAGGUUUUUAGUGUUUGCCACUACUAUUAAUUUAUUAAAGAAAAUUUGUGGGUCAAAUAAUCCGUAUCUAUAACCUAAUUUUACAAGAUUUAGUUCAGAGAAUUUUUGCUUUGUGUGGCAUGUCAUACAGGAAUUAAGUCAUCUGUUAUAAGUUGUGUAAAAUCUAAUUUGCUAGGAAUAAUUUUAGAUAACUUUGCCUUGCCCGGCAUAAAAAUUCAAUAGGAAUAAGUUAUGCCUCGUGCAACAUAACUUUGUGGUUCUAAAACAGAACUUACCUCUAUUGGCAUAAGUACGGUAGGAACUAACUUAUGCCUCACAAGACUCGUUCGUUUGAUGAGAACCAAAUCGAUCAAUCCAAAUUGAGAAUAAACGAGAUUACCUAAAGAACAAAUCAUUGAAUUGUUCUUGAACAGUUAUCUCUAAGAGCUCUAAUGGAACUCUUGUGAACUCAAAAGAAAAGAGAGAAAGUUGUUAUUGAUUUACUUGAAUGAAUUCUGUCUAAUGAUUACAAUGGAGAAUCCAGCUACUUAUACAGUGAACCUAACUGAAUUUGGGAUUUCAGUCCAAAAGUUAGUUAUAACUAACUCCUGAACAGCUGGCAGUAGGUCAUAUGACUUGCAUGUGACUAAUCUUUAAGCUAAAAUUGAAAUAAAAUAGCAGCUAACUGAAUAUGCUAAAAUAGGAUCACAUCAAAUACCCUCCCUUUAGGACAAUUCUUGUCCUCAAGGAUUGAAGUGAGGGAACUUCAGUAGGAAAGAGUCAUAGUCCUCCCAGGUGCUAUCUUCCUCAGCAGUAUUGAACCAUUUGGUCAGAAGUUGAGUUGCAGCUGUGUCGUGUUUCUGAACAAUUCUUCUGUCCAACAGCCUCUCAGGCACCAGAAGCACAUAACCAAAAUCAGAAUGAACAAUGGGAAGGGUGGUUGAAGAAAGAUGGGAACCAAUUCUUUUCUUUAGCUGAGACACAUGAAAGGUAGGAUGAAGUUUAAUGCCUUCAGGUAGUGCCAAAGUGUAUGCAACCAUGCCAACCUUAGCUAUAAUCUCAAGAAAGCCUACCUAUAGGGUUGGAGUUUCAAAUAAACCCAAUCACCAACCUCAUAGCACCUGUCAGACCUCUUCUUGUCAGUCUGGACUUUUAUCCUGUUCUGAGCUUUCAGCAGGUUAGACUUCAACAACCUCAAUGUAGCUUUUCUAGCACUCAAGCUUCUAUCAACUGCAUCAAGUUGGGAAUCCAGUGUCAUGUAGGGAAGUAGAGGGGGUGGUUUCUGACUAUACACAAUUUCAUAAAGGGUCAUUAGAGUAGAAGAGUGGAAGGUGGUGUUGUACCACCAUUCAGCUAGUGGUAACCACUGUGGCCACUCCUUGGGUUUCUCAAAAGUCAUGCACCUGAGGUAACACUGAUACAAGUACGACCACGAGGAUGGGCGUGUAAAAGUGUAAUGAACCCAAGGCUUGGAGUGUGCAAGAAAAAUGCAAAAGAGGGCCUUAAACACACACCAAAACCAAACCUACACUACACUCCAUGGGCAAUAUUUUGAGGCUUUUCAUUAAAGGGCCUUUUGGUCAUUUUGUAUUCUACUUAUAACCUAGUAUAAAUAGAACAUUGUAGAUCAUUUUGUCUUAGAUUUUGCUGAAUAUGAUGAGUGUAUAACACUUGAAACAUUUCCUCUCUAAGGAGAGAAGACUACCAAUCCGAAACUAGGGUGAUACAAGUGUGGAUUUCACUUGUGUUGCAUUCAAGGCUUGGAAACGAAGGUGCUUGAGGAUAUUGACGUCCCUCUUGUGUCCACGUAAGAGUGUCGGUGUUGUUAUUACAUGUAUUAAGGGUCUUAGUAUUGGAUCUACACUUAGAUUCUUAGUUAUUGUAGUAAUCUAUGUCACACUACCUAUCUUUACAUUUUAUUGUUGUCAUCUUGUUGUUGUUGUGUAGUGAACUAUUUUGGGUCCUUUGUUGAAUCUAGAAAUUUGUGUUAUUGUUGUUCAUAUUAUUCUUCACGUUUUGUAGCUGUUUUGGUGUUAUAUAGACCAUUAUAUAUUGUAUUCUUCUUGUUGAUAGCGAAUCCGAGAAUGGUCUCCAUCUUGGUCCUUGGAUCCUUAAAAUUAUGGACUGAUUUGGUGUUUGGUUUCGUGUAUCUUUUGUUAUUCUUGUAUCAUUUGGUAUUAAAGCAUGGCUUGAUUUUGUUACCACAAGAUCAAUCUUGGGCUUGCUUGCAAAAAAAAUUAAAAAAAAAGUGUUGAAAGCUGAAAAUUCCAAAAAGAAGCAAAUCUGUCCAUUUUUGUGUCUUGACCGAAAUUGUGUUCUUGUUGUGUCUUGGCCAAGAUUUUUCUUGUUUUGAGUCUAUAUCUAGGAUUAAUUUUAUUUGUUUUGUUGUUUCUAGUGUUAGAUUCUUCACCUCUAACACUAAAGAAGUCUAGAUCUAGAUUUGAGCUUUAAUUGUUAAUGUUGUUGUUGUGAACCUAAACUUUGGCCAUGUGAUUGUUGUUGGUAUUGUUGUUGCGGAUUCAAAGCUUGUACGUGUGGUGUGGUGUUGGUUAAAGUUUUGAACGUGUAUAGUGGUUAUUGUGUUGUAUUUUUAAGCUUGGAAAGGUGUUGUUGAUGUUUGGGAUCCAACUUGAACCUUAUAACUUCAAGAUUCAAAAAGUGUGUUCUUGGUGUUCUUCACAUCUUCAUCUAUUGUUGAAGAAAAAGUGGAUGUUUGAUCUUGAAAUUUGAAGAAAGAGAGUGUAUAUUUUGUUAGUCUUGAAAGACAUAUUUCCAAAAUUUAAGACCUCUCAAGACUUUUUCAACCAAUUCCAACCACUCAAGGACUUUAACAACCAUUUUUCUAACAACCUUCCAUGAUUUAAGGACCAUGUCUUGAGGAGAAAAGUCAAGUUUUGCUUUUUGAAUUUGAAAGAGGAUUUUAAGACUUGUUUUCUCUCCUUAACUAACUCCCACCAUUUUCAAAUUACAAUUGGACCAAGACUUGAAUUGGAAAAUAAAAUUUGAUAACAACCGCAAUCAAUACGUGGCUGCCACAUCACUUUUUACUGUUCACCGAUAAUUUGUAAGAUCAAAAUUUAGAUUUCUUAGUUUCAUUUUAUUGUCUCUUAGUUUUGUUUGUUGGUUCGAAAGCUAAUUGACAACCUAGUAAUUUCCUACUAGCUUGUAAGUUAGUUUUGUGUCCGUUUGUUCGUGUUUAUGUUUGUUGUAUGCUUUUAUCGUUUUGAAUUCAUUGUUAGUUCUUGACUCAAGUCCUACAAGAUUUCAUUUGAGUUUCAAACAAAAAUUCAUUCUGGACAAGAGUAGGUCCGACCCUCAAUCACUCACGAAGUACAAGCCGGCUUUCAACACUUAUGAAACCAAGUGUGAGGUAAAAUCGAGAGUGGGACCAUGGUGAGGCUAAUUUGAGCUAACAAGUUGUUUUUUUUUUGUCUUUCUUAGGUCCCAUGGAUGACGGUACUUUCAAGGCUGCCCUUGAAGAUGUCCACCGGAACUUUGAAAGACUACAUUACAUACUUGACUCCCCGAAUUCAAAACCAUUAAUCCAACCUCCACUUGACCAAGGAACAACGACCCGUCUUGAAACUAUCCUCCGUGAUUGUGAAAGAUGAGAAAGGGAAUGGAUGCCAUACAAACCACUAUAUCAAAUGCUCCCUUGUGAUGAGAGCUUGUCAAAGGUACAAGCGGAAUGCCAUGACACACAUCAAAGUGAAGACCAUAACUCAUACGAGUUACAAGGUAAAAAUCCUAAUCCCCACACUCUUACAAACUUAGAAUAUUGUGAUGUGGCUAGUAGUAGCCAAAUGAGAGUGGUUUCGGGUUUGCAUAGAUUAUAAGUACACGAGUCUUUAUUUUGUGAUACUCUUGGUAUUGUUAGGAUGCAUGACAACUAACUUCUUAUUGUAAGUAAGCAAGCACUAGUUGAUCCUUUAGAUGACAAUUAAUUCUUCUCGUAAGAAUGAUUUAUGUCCAUCUAGAGCUUACACUUAUGAAUUGAAUAAGGUUCCAUUGCUAUGUAAUAAGAGUAUUCACACACUAGUUGACCCUUGUGAAAUUCAAGGUGAGUCUAAGUUGGUAUGUGAGUUGCCAACAACUAGUGAGGAUGUGAAAAAUGAUCAAUCGGGUGACGAUGACCUUGACGUGCUUGAAUGUCUAGACAACCCGAUUAGUAUUUGUUCUUGUGAAGUUGGUUUUGAUUUUGCUCCCUUUUCUGUCUAUAGUGGUUUAUGUAUAUUUAGGGACUACUCUCUUGAAAGAGAAAGUGUUGCAUGCCGAUAAAUGCUAUCUACUCCUUCUUCGUGUGUUUCCUACGUUGGGCUUGCUAAUAAAAAUGAACUUGAAAUUAGUAAGUACUUUCAUGAGGACUCCAUAGUUAGAGUUGACUCAUGUGACUCCUUUCCCUCCCCUCUUUGUGCUCAUGAUAUUUUCCAUAGCGAUAUAGAGGGUAUGCCUAAUUUUGAGGGCGACACCGUAGGGGAAAGUAAGUAUGGUCGAAAACCAUGGCCAUGGAUACUUCUCCCGUUUGAUCCCGGUACCAUCUUAGGGUGGGAAAUGAUUACCUCGGCCUAUUUUCCUUUUGUCUUAAUGCUUGCCCGAGCCACCUCCUUUGUAGCAUUUGUACUAAUCUUUCAUGAUUAAAACAAAGAACCCGUGGCUAUACUUUAAGUUUGUUCUGCCUCGUCAUGGCUUGUUGAUGUGUUAUUUUUGCUAACCUUAAUCCCUCAUAUCAUGAGGAUGUGUGCUUGUUUGUCUUCUCUUUAUUUUGCAAGGUAUGGAUUCGAGGUCGAAUCCUUUUCAAGAAGGGGAGAAUGAUACAAGUACGACCACGAGAAUAGAUGUGUGAAAGUGUAAUGAACCCGAGGCUUGGAGUGUGCAAGAAAAAUUCAAAAGAGCGCCUAAAACACACACCAAAACCGAACCUACACUACACUCUAUGGGCAACAUUUUGAGGCUUUUCAUUAAAGGGCAUUUUGGCCAUUUUGUAUUCUAUUUAUAACCUAGUAUAAAUAGAAUAUUGUAGGUCAUUUUGUAUUAGAUUUUUCUGAAUAUGAUGAGUGUAUAACACUUGAAACAUUUCCUCUCUAAGGAGAGAAGACCACCAAUCCAAAACUAGGGUGAUACAAGUGUGGAUUUCACUUGUGUUGCAUUCAAAGCUUGGAAACGAAGGUGCUUGGGGAGAUUGACGUCCCUCUUGUGGUCCACGUAUGAGUGUCCGUAUUGUUAUUACAUGUAUUAAUGGUCUUAGUGUUGGAUAUACACUUAGGUUCUUAGUUAUUGUAGUAAUCUAUGUCACACUACCUAUCUUUACAUUUUGUUGUUGCCAUCUUGUUAUUGUUGUGUAGUGGACUGUUUUGGGUCCUUUGUUGAAUCUGGAAAUUUGUGUUAUUGUUGUUCAUAUUGUUCUUCACUUUUUGUAGCUGUUUUGGUGUUAUAUAGACCAUUGUAUCUUGUAUUCUUCUUGUUGAUAGCGAAUCCGAGAGUGGUCUCCAUCUUGAUCCUUGGAUCCUUAAGAUUGUGUACUGAUUUGGUGUUUGAUUUCGUGUAUCUUUUGUUAUUCUUGUAUCAACCAACCAUCACCUUUCCUUUUUUACUAAGGAUGCCAGCAUAGUACUUAAGGUAAGGAUGGGGGCUUGUAUUUGUCUGGAUCAAGAGAAUCAUCCUCUGCAGCUUAGGAUCAAAGUACCAGGAUUGCUUUAUCUCUUCCAUCAAGUCAAAUUGAAUGGCUGAAUGCUGCAAAGAGAAAUGCCAUCCUCUACUCUAGAGAGAGCAUCUGCAACAAUGUUUUCCUUCCUCUUUUUAUAGUCAAUGGUGUAGUCAUAUCCAAGUAACUUAACUAACCAUUUUUGUUGACUUAGGAUAGUAAUUCUCUGCCCCAACAAGUACUUGAAAUUUACCCCUUCAUACGGGCCUGAACCCUCAAGGAAAAAUAGAUUAGCUCCAACAGGAGAUAAAACAUCUUGAAAUUUACCAACACUGAUCAUACAGAGCUCAGAAGUUUGGGCCAAUAAUUUGUUCAUCCCUUGCUGUUGCACCAGCUUUGCAGCCGGUGGUUGACUGCCUCUCAAAUAUAUUUUGCGACCCAUGAUAUGAAAUUCCAUCUUCAGUUUCUUGAAGUUCCAAAUGAUGUCACUUAGUGUAAUUAACCACUAGAUCCCUAGCACCAUACUACACCCUUCAAUUGUCAAGAUUAGCAUAUCAGAAUCAAAGGAUACACUCGGCAUCUUCUAUGUUAAACCUUUACACACAUAGUUUCUCUGAACUUUCUUACCAUCGGCCACUGAGACACCAAAAGGUGAUAUAACAGUUAACAAACGACCAAACUUCCUUGCAAUGUUGUAAUCAAGGAAGUUGUAGGUACUUCCGGUAUCUAUGAGUACAUGAAUGGCUUUCCCCUUAAUCGAGGCAGUGACUUUCAUAGUUCUGAAGUCAUGAAUUCCAUUCAUGGCAUAAACUAACACGUGAGGUAAGAUUUCCCUUUCAUUAUUAGUUUCUAGGACAUGACCAAUCAUGGUCUUCUUAGUUAUUGUAGUAAUCUAUGUCACACUACCUAUCUUUACAUUUUGUUGUUGCCAUCUUGUUAUUGUUGUGUAGUGGACUGUUUUGGGUCCUUUGUUGAAUCUGGAAAUUUGUGUUAUUGUUGUUCAUAUUGUUCUUCACUUUUUGUAGCUGUUUUGGUGUUAUAUAGACCAUUGUAUCUUGUAUUCUUCUUGUUGAUAGCGAAUCCGAGAGUGGUCUCCAUCUUGAUCCUUGGAUCCUUAAGAUUGUGUACUGAUUUGGUGUUUGAUUUCGUGUAUCUUUUGUUAUUCUUGUAUCAACCAACCAUCACCUUUCCUUUUUUACUAAGGAUGCCAGCAUAGUACUUAAGGUAAGGAUGGGGGCUUGUAUUUGUCUGGAUCAAGAGAAUCAUCCUCUGCAGCUUAGGAUCAAAGUACCAGGAUUGCUUUAUCUCUUCCAUCAAGUCAAAUUGAAUGGCUGAAUGCUGCAAAGAGAAAUGCCAUCCUCUACUCUAGAGAGAGCAUCUGCAACAAUGUUUUCCUUCCUCUUUUUAUAGUCAAUGGUGUAGUCAUAUCCAAGUAACUUAACUAACCAUUUUUGUUGACUUAGGAUAGUAAUUCUCUGCCCCAACAAGUACUUGAAAUUUACCCCUUCAUACGGGCCUGAACCCUCAAGGAAAAAUAGAUUAGCUCCAACAGGAGAUAAAACAUCUUGAAAUUUACCAACACUGAUCAUACAGAGCUCAGAAGUUUGGGCCAAUAAUUUGUUCAUCCCUUGCUGUUGCACCAGCUUUGCAGCCGGUGGUUGACUGCCUCUCAAAUAUAUUUUGCGACCCAUGAUAUGAAAUUCCAUCUUCAGUUUCUUGAAGUUCCAAAUGAUGUCACUUAGUGUAAUUAACCACUAGAUCCCUAGCACCAUACUACACCCUUCAAUUGUCAAGAUUAGCAUAUCAGAAUCAAAGGAUACACUCGGCAUCUUCUAUGUUAAACCUUUACACACAUAGUUUCUCUGAACUUUCUUACCAUCGGCCACUGAGACACCAAAAGGUGAUAUAACAGUUAACAAACGACCAAACUUCCUUGCAAUGUUGUAAUCAAGGAAGUUGUAGGUACUUCCGGUAUCUAUGAGUACAUGAAUGGCUUUCCCCUUAAUCGAGGCAGUGACUUUCAUAGUUCUGAAGUCAUGAAUUCCAUUCAUGGCAUAAACUAACACGUGAGGUAAGAUUUCCCUUUCAUUAUUAGUUUCUAGGCCCUGACCAAUCAUGGUCAAGAAUUCAGCAGNNNNNNNNNNNNNNNNNNNNNNNNNNNNNNNNNNNNNNNNNNNNNNNNNNNNNNNNNNNNNNNNNNNNNNNNNNNNNNNNNNNNNNNNNNNNNNNNNNNNNNNNNNNNNNNNNNNNNNNNNNNNNNNNNNNNNNNNNNNNNNNNNNNNNNNNNNNNNNNNNNNNNNNNNNNNNNNNNNNNNNNNNNNNNNNNNNNNNNNNNNNNNNNNNNNNNNNNNNNNNNNNNNNNNNNNNNNNNNNNNNNNNNNNNNNNNNNCAGCAGGAUCCACCCUUAUGUCUUAUUCUUCCCUUAGCAAUUCAAUCUCUUCCCCACCUUUUUCUACUUUUAUAGAAAAGAGUUGCCUCUUUUCUUGCAUACAUGUCCAAAAACAUAAGGUUCAUCACAGUUAAAACACAGUCCCUUUCUUCUUCUUUCCUCCAUUUCUGCGGGUGUCAAUAACUUGGCAUUUUUUAAAUGUGGUUUGGGUGCAGGAAUGGAAGGAUGGUUGGGUUUGGAAAAGGGUUGUUUAAUAGUUUGAUUGGAGCUUGUAUUGAAGGUAGUAUAAGGUUGAGAGUAGGAAAAUCUGGGAUUGUAUUUGGGAUUUGCUAAGAUAGGUGAACUGCUUGAUACAAGAAAAAUAAGAGGAACACGAAACAACCACAAAACAGUCCAAUACACCCUCCAAAACAGUCCACAAAUCACAACAAAUCGUGAGCCAAAUAGAGACCUCACUCGGAUUCGACAAAUACAACAAGAAUACAAGAAACAAAGGUGUAUUUGACACCCAAAACAGCCACAAAACGUGAAGAACAAGAUGACAACAAGAACACAAAUUUUUGGAUUCAACAAGACACAAAAACAGUCCACUACAAACAAUAACAAGAUUACAAGAAUAAGAGGAUAGAUAAUGAGAUAUAGAUUUGUUACAAAAUUUAGGAACAAAGUGUGAUUCAAACACUAAAACCCUAAUUAAUGUAACAAUAACACCACACUCUUAUGGUGACCGCCAAGGGAAUCACUCACCUCAAGAUCCACCGUUUUCAAGCAAAGAACAAUAUUGGCUUUUCCAAGCCCUAUACUAAGGAUAACUUUUCCAAGCCCUAACUAAGAACUAUACUAAGAUUUUGCACUCUCCAAAGAGAGAAUAAGUCUUUCAAAUGUUCAUCAUUCAUUAACUAAAGAGAAAUGACCUAAAAUAGACUAUAUAUAGUAUAGUACAAAAGAAAGAUAAAAUGACUCCAAUGCCCUUAAUGAGGUGAGUGGAAAUGAAAUGUCAUUUAGACAAGGAUAAAAUACCAAAAUAACCUUGAGGCUAGUUGACCAAAAUGACCUUAAUAAAAGGGGCUGACCAAAACCGUGAACCAUUAAAUGUGGUCCAAACCCGUGAGUCCUCUAGUCUUCAAGGCUCCAACUAAUCUUCCACACACGGGUUUGUUUGAUGGCAUGCUCAAAAUAACCCCUACAUGUAUGAUCCCGUUUCCUCCAUGGUACCAAAUCUUGAUUCUUCACGUAGUGACUUUGAAUGAUGCCAUCGAAAGCUAAGGCGGCCAUUUCACUUGUAUCAUCCUCCCUUUCUUGAAAAGGAUUCGACCUCGAAUCCGUACCUUGCAAAACAAGAGAAAGGACAAACCAACACAACAUCCUCAUGGCAUGAGGGUUAGGGUUAGUACAACAAUAAACAUAAUCACGCCAAGGGGGUACAUACUUGAAGUAUAACCAAGAAUCCUUUGAAGUGAGUAUUAAAAACUCAAUGAAAGAUGUACAAAGGAUUUGGUUAUGGGAUACGCCAAGAGUGAUACUUUGUUUGUCAUGUAGACCAAGCAACAAGUUGGGUGCACCAACAUUACUAUUUCUACAUUUGACAUCGGGGUCAAAUGGGAAAAGUGGCCAUAGACACGGGUCUAGACAACACUCCCCUUUCCGUGGUCUACACCCAAACUAAACGACAUACUCUCUAUAAUAGCAUACAUAUUAUCCAAAGCAAAUAGAGAGUAGAGAAAGGUAUCACUCAAAUCGAAUUCUACCAAGGUUCCCUCAUGUGUGUACUCCCUACUAGUUUCCCAAUAAUAACCAUGAGUACUCUCAACAAUAAAGUCACACAAAGUAAAAGAAGAAGUAGCUUCCGCAACUACACAUUCCUUACCCAAAGAAGAAGUAGCUUCCACAACUACACAUUCCUUACUCCUAAGAGUACUCUCAUCUUCCAAGAAGAGAUUUCUAUCUUUAAGAGGAAUGUUGUCACACCAAAGUGGGUUAGCAUAUAGGCUAUAGCUUCCAAGGCAAGCCAUACCAUCAUUUUCACCACUAGCUUUAUUAGAAGUGUUUAAAUCAUCUUCAAACAAGACAUUACACCUAAAGAGAGUGUGAUCUACCUCACGGACAGAUUUGGAACAAACAAGUUCCUCAUGCUCUAAAUGAUUAAUAUCAAGUUUCGAGGAUGUUCCAAACACAAGAUUACCCCAAGAAGAGAUCUCGGGUUCACUCCCACUUUGUUGACCAACAUUUUCAAAUACUUCACUCACUUGAGUUCUAUUAAGCACAUCACACACAUACUCAAGUGGGGGAUAAUUUUCACAAACAAGUUGAUCAACACCAAUUACCCAAGAUGAUGUACUUCCGUUCAACAUAUAGGCUUCAACACUAGGUGGACAUAAAUUGAUCUUACAAGAAGAGUCAAUUUUGUCAUCAAUAGGAUCAACUAGUGUAUCCAAACUCAUAAUAUGUACAUCAUCAACAAGAGGCAAGGAAUUAUUAAACUCAUAAAUAAGUAAGCUACUACUCACAUUCAAUGGAUUACUAGUCACACAAUUGUCAUUCACAUGCACUAAAGUGUAAGAAUUAGCUAUUUUACCUUUAAGAUCUUGAGUAGACUCUUUUUCUUGACGUGAGGUGAAGGUCUUCCACAAGCUUGGACAGCAACUUCCUUUUGGCAUUGUUCGCCUUCGCUUGCCAUGUUGGUACCUACACAAAUGUCCUUAGAAAUGGAAGGAUAACCAAUGUUAGCACGGUUUGGUGGCAAUCCCCUCACUUCGCUCCACAUAUCCUCUCCCUUUUCCACUUUUGAAUUACCACCUUGCACUCUCUUACUCCUUUCAAUCUUUUGUCUCUCAUCAUAAAUCGGAUUGAAGUAGGUAAGCAUUUCUCUUUGCGGUUUGGAUAGUAAGUACGUUAUGAGGCGAUUUUCCCAUUGGUCUCUUACAACAUUAGGCCAAUUUUGCACGUUAAGAACUUGAUGUCGUGCAAACCAAUCGGCAUCCAAGCUCAUAUGACCGUAGUUUAAGGAAAAAACAUUGCACCACACCUCCUCAUAGUAAUCAAAUUGGGAGAAGACAACUUUUACCCUCUCGGUAACCUUGAACUCACCCAAGUAGUAUGGAAUAAGUAAAGGCUCUCGAAAUAACCCCAAGUAGUCAACCAUGGAUGGAAGAAUGCAGUUUCCAUAGUACCUAUCAUUCAACACCAUAAGGCAGCCCGGUAUCCCCCAAAUAGUCACUUUUCCGGAGUGUACAUUCAUCCUUGGAUCAACAUUGUAAGGCACACGAGUACCCAUCGGUUUUAGAGAUGCUUGCCCUCUUGUUCUCAUGGGAAAACCUCUACUAUAGCUAGUAUAACCAAUCACACCAUGUCAACCUUGAUAAGAAGUACUACAAGGUGAAGAAUAUGAUCUUUCACACUCCGCAUGCGUACUCUCAUCAUAUCUCUCAUAAGCUUUGCGAAUGAAAACGUUAUACCUAACACCAAAUGUAGGUUCAGAGUGGGAAGUAUAAGAAUCCUCACAUGCCCCAACUUCAUCAUAAGAACCAUUAGAGGUCCUACAUCAUCUCCAAAUUCACCAUAAGCACUAGGCACAUCAUUCCCCUCAUUUUUUCCCCUAAACCCGAGACCUUCAAAUCUGCCCAAGUUUUGAUCAUGGCUAUUUUCAUAGCCUCCAUAAUCUCCCUCAACUUCGUAGCCAUAAAACCCGUCACUACAUCAUAGUCUCCCAUGUCGUAGUCACAAUAAUCCCCGGUUAUCGAAGACAUGUUCCCAAAUAUCACCUUUGUACCUACACAAUGAACAAACAAUGUUAGUAGUAAAGCUUCCUUACCAACACUCGUCUAUACUAACCUUUGUGAUUCUCACAAUUGAAGCGGCGAAUAUUGAAAGUUGCUUAUACUCCGGUAGUCAAUAAGAUGUUAAUUCUACUUGGCGACCGGAAUAGAUUCUUGUUUGAUCGACUCAAGACACAAANNNNNNNNNNNNNNNNNNNNNNNNNNNNNNNNNNNNNNNNNNNNNNNNNNNNNNNNNNNNNNNNNNNNNNNNNNNNNNNNNNNNNNNNNNNNNNNNNNNNNNNNNNNNNNNNNNNNNNNNNNNNNNNNNNNNNNNNNNNNNNNNNNNNNNNNNNNNNNNNNNNNNNNNNNNNNNNNNNNNNNNNNNNNNNNNNNNNNNNNNNNNNNNNNNNNNNNNNNNNNNNNNNNNNNNNNNNNNNNNNNNNNNNNNNNNNNNNNNNNNNNNNNNNNNNNNNNNNNNNNNNNNNNNNNNNNNNNNNNNNNNNNNNNNNNNNNNNNNNNNNNNNNNNNNNNNNNNNNNNNNNNNNNNNNNNNNNNNNNNNNNNNNNNNNNNNNNNNNNNNNNNNNNNNNNNNNNNNNNNNNNNNNNNNNNNNNNNNNNNNNNNNNNNNNNNNNNNNNNNNNNNNNNNNNNNNNNNNNNNNNNNNNNNNNNNNNNNNNNNNNNNNNNNNNNNNNNNNNNNNNNNNNNNNNNNNNNNNNNNNNNNNNNNNNNNNNNNNNNNNNNNNNNNNNNNNNNNNNNNNNNNAACCACUUUUUCUUCAACAAAAUAUAGAGAUGGUGAAGAACACUAAGAACACAAACUUUGAGUCUUGAAGUUCUAAGGUUCAAGUUGGACCUCCCAAACAACACAACACCUUUUCAAGCUUAAAAUCCACAACACAAUCCCCAAAAUACACGUUCAAACUUGAACCAACAACACAUCACACGUUCAAGUCUUAAAUCCACAACAACAAUACCAACAACAAUCGACCAAGUCCAAGUUCACAAUAACAACAUCAACAACAAAGGCUCAAAUCAAGAUAUAGACUCAAAGUGUUAGUGAAGAACAGUACUAACGCUAGAAAUAAUUAAGGCAAGUAAAAAUCUCGGCCAUGACACAACAAGAACACAAUUUUCGGCCAAGAACACAAAGUGGACAGAUUGUUAUUUUCUGAAAAUUUCAGUUUACAGUUUUUUUUUUAUGUGUGUUUUUCAAGUCUCAAAACCAAGAUUGAUCUUGUUAGAACAAAAUCAAAGAUGGAUUUGAUACCAAAUGAUACAAGAAAAAUAAGAGGAACACGAAACAACCACAAAAUAGUCCAAUACACCCUCCAAAACAGUCCACAAAUCACAAUAAAUCGUGGGCCAAAUGGAGACCUUAUUCGAAUUCGACAAAUACAACAAGAAUACAAGAAACAAAGGUGUAUUUGACACCCAAAACAGCCACAAAAUGAGAAGAACAAGAUGACAACAAGAACAAAAAUUUUCGGAUUCAACAAGACACAAAAACAGUCUACUACAAACAAUAACAAGAUUACAGGAAUAAAAAGAUAGAUAGUGAGAUAUAGAUUUGUUACAAGACUUAGGAACAAAGUGUGAUUCAAACACUAAACCCCUAAUUAAUGUAACAACAACACCACACUCUUACGGUGACCACCAAGGGAAUCACUCACCUCAAGAUCCACCGUUUUCAAGCAAAGAACAAUAUUGGCUUUUCCAAGCCCUAACUAAGAAUUAUACUAAGGUGUUGCACUCUCCAAAGAGAAAAUAAGUCUUUCAAAUGUUCAUCAUUCAUUGACUAAAGAGAAAUGACCUAAAAUAGACUAUAUAUAGCAUAUUAUAAAAGAAAGAUAAAAUGACUCCAAUGCUCUUAAUGAGGUGGGUGGCACUGGAGUGUCAUUUAGAUAAGGCUAAAAGACCAAAACGACCUUGAGGCUAAGUGACCAAAAUGACCUUAAUAAAAGGGGCCAAAAUCGUGAACCAUCAAAUGUGAUCCAAACCCGUGAGUCCUCUAGUCUUCAAAGUAUGAUCCCGUGCCCUUCAUGGGACCAAAGCUUGAUUUUUCACGUAGUGACUUUGAAUGAUGCCAUCUAAAGUUAAGGCAGCUAUUUCACUUGUAGCACUGCUGAAGGCUUGUCUUUGCACCAUAAGUGUUUGUUCUUGGAUUUUUGCCAAACUCAUGGCCUUAGCCAAUGUUCUAGGUCCCAAUAUUUUUACAGGCAAUCCAAUUUUAGGUUUUAACCCCCUAAUGAAGCAACUAACUACAUAAUCUUCAGAUAAUUCUACCCUAGUCAGCAGUUCAUCAAAAAGGUCUAUAUACUCCUGAACAGUGCCUGUUUGUUUAAGGUCUUUGAAAUCUUCCAUGGGAUCAUCAAAUAAUUCUGAACUGAAACGAGCAUAUAGGCAUUUAACAUACUUACCCCAUCGUGGCCAAUCUUUAGUUAAUCUGUUCUUCAUGUAGGAUUGAUGUCAUUGUAAUGCUUUCCCUUCAAGCUUACAAGAUGCAAGCUUAACCUUGGACUCAUCUGGUGUCUCAUCUACAUCGAAAAAUUGUCCGUACUUGUAAAUCCAAUCCCAUAACCCCGUACCAUCAAAUUUGGGGAAUUCGACUGAUAACCUCUAGUGGGAAGCUGGUAACCCCCAUUUUUGUGCCCUUCUUGAGCUGUACUUCUAGGUUUCUCAGAGUUUCCCAUCAAAUCCACCGGUAUUCCAUGUCCCCAUUGUUCUCCAUUACCCGGCAUGCCAUUGCGAUGUUGAACGCCUUUACCUGUGAACAAUUUCUUGAUUUCAUCGACUGCCCUUGCAACUUUCUCAUCCAUAGCAAUUUGCAUUUCUGCCAUUGAGUGUGCGAUUCCUUCCAUGGAACCUUUGAGUUUAUCAACCUCCUUUCGUAGCUCCUGCAUACGCGUAUUGUGAUCUCCCAUCGCACAUGUCAGAGGAUUAGGUCUCUGAUACCAAUGAUAAGAACCAAAUCGAUCGAUCCAAAUUGAGAAUAAAUGAGAUUACCUAAAGAACAAAUCAUUGAAUUGUUCUUGAACAGUUAUCUCUAAGAGCUCUGAUGGAACUCUUGUGAACUCAAAAGAAAGAGAGAAAGUUGUUAUUGAUUUACUUGAAUGAAUUCUGUCUAAUGAUUACAAUGGAGAAUCCAGCUACUUAUACAGUGAUCCUAACUGAAUUUGGGAUUUCAGUCCAAAAGUCAGUUAUAACUAACUCCUGAACAACUGGCAGUAGGUCACAUGACUUGCAUGUGACUAAUCUUUAAGCUAAAAUUGAAAUACAAUAGCAACUAACUGAAUAUGCUAAAAUAGGAUCACAUCAUCGUUCUGAACUGAGGGCAUAAUUUUUGUAUGUGAAGCAUAACUUCUGUUGGGAUACGAAAGUAUAAGGUUAUGCCGAGUUAUUUUUCAAUGUUAGCGGUAUUUUCAAUCACCCUUUUUAUUGUCUGAAAAUAUAUACAGCAUUCAAUUACAACAAUGACAACAAAUAGUCAAUAUAAUCCAACAUGUGAGGUCUAGGAGGGAUAGAUGUACGCAAACCUUACCCAUACUUUGCUAGAGGUAGAGGGAUUGCAUUCAACUAUUUAAACAAAGCACAGGAUGUAUUGGACGUUGUCCUAUCCUGAUUCAGAGGAUGCAAAACACACAAAAGAAGUGUGUGGUGUAGACAAAAGGGGUACUGGAUGCUGCACCUGUAGAAGUGUCCAAGCUUCUAAUUAUGAAACCACUGCUUGAUACUUGGAUCCCGUAAGGCAUUGAAAUAAAUUAGCGAACUCUUGCAUCCAUCCUUUACUCUAACCAGCAAGUUCUAGGAACUCGGUCCUCACAGAUAUAGGAAUUCUUACUCGGUGCACCCUGUCAGUCCAAGUUAAGCUCCCAAAAUAAUAGCCUGUGGUGUAUUUGUGAGUGGUCGAAAUGGUGAGAGUGAAAGAGACUUUCUUGGUGCUGGAGUUGAAUAUCAAAGUUUCAGGCUUUACUUUUAUGGUAAUGCCCAGUGGAGGCUCAAUAAUGGCCCUAUAUUUGGAGCUCACUGAUCCGACGUUGGUCACUGUUCUGCUAACAGUAACUGUUUUCUUGAGACUUGGUAAUGUUAUUGAAGGAAGAUUCAAAUCAAGAAUCGAAGGCAUUUUGAUUGGACAGGCAACACAUCCGUUAAUGAUGCUAUUGAUGGCACUAGUGUUGUAGCCCAUUGGGCACAAAUAAUAUAAAACAUAGUCGGAGGAUUCCAUAUCAUAGACUAGGCCAGGAUCUUUUGCGCCAUUUGCAUUCACGAGUCCACCACCGAAAUCAAAUGGAUCAGCAAUCUUAUCUGUAUUUUCCUCAGCUAUAAUUGGUUCCCCAGAAUGAGGGUCCUUUUGCCAUGCUGCAUGUACAAUAUUCAUACUUAUGGUAAGCAAAUGUUAUUGCUAAGACAAUUUCACGUAGAAGGAUCAAGAGAUAACCAGAGCAUAUGAAAAACUAGAUAUCUGCAGAAUAAAGACCUGUUGUGACAAGUGCAGACUUAAUAGCAGCUGGAGACCAAUGUGGGUGCAGGGACUUGAACAAAGCGACAAUGCCAGAAAUGUGAGGAGCUGCCAUGGACGUUCCUGAAUUAAACCUGUAAGGAGUUUCUCCUGGAGGAACAGCAGCCAAUAUAUUGACUCCCGGAGCUGCUAUAUCUGGCUGUAACAUCAGACAUUAAUUUAGGAAUAUGAUGCAAUAUUUAGAAGGUGCAAGCAGCACAUAUCGAGGAUAAAAUGAGAUCAAGUCGCUUUGGAAUGGUUUAGUCAUGUCCAAGUCGAUUUCCAAAUGAUUGUUUGUAGGUGCUAAAGCAUGGUGGGUGAAGGUAUUAACAAGGGACCUAAAAUUACUUGGAAGAAAGUUGCCUCGAAAGACCUACAAUUUCUUGGAAUUCACACACGCUUGGCAAAAAAGAGGGUGAAAUGUAGGGAAAAAGAUCCUGAGUUUACUUGGGAACAAUAAAGUUAUUUGAGAUUUAUAUGCUAGUGAAAAAUAUAGAGAACUUCGAGUUCUUAUAUAGAGUGAACCCCAACUUUGUUGGUAUUGCGGCAUAGUUAUUGUAUUUGUUAUAGAUUCAAUAUUAGAAAUAAUAAGUGCCCACAUAGUGUGCUACUUAGUAAUACUUAGAAAAUCAUACCUUAAGUAUGGCGGGGGCAACAGAAUUGGGACCUCGAGAUGAGAAGGACGCAAUGUGUGUUGAAACAGGUUUUUCAACAUGAGUUCUGGUAGGACUCAGCUUAACUUGCGGGUUCCUGCAUUAUAUUUUAAUGAUGGGUUUACGCACCAGCAAUGUGGUUUAAGAUUUCUCUCUAUUCAGCAAAAGGGAAAGAAUCAGAUAUCAUCGUUUACCUGGAAUAUCUAAUGUAAUCGAGUAAUUGAGCUCCAAUGUCGGAACUUACUUCAAUACCUGGGAAGUCAGAAGCAUAAUAAUCUAGGGCACUGGUUGGAUUCUUAGCAACAAUCAAUCCCAAGCCGCCAACCGCCUGGACAACUAGUUGAGCUGUCCCUAAUUCUGUCUCAUGUCCUUUAACGAGGAAGCAAAGCACCACUUUUCCAGCCGCCCAUGUAUCAUUUGUAUUUAAGGUUUCACAAUAUCUUCAAAUCCAUGAAUUCACGCUAUUUUAGUUUAGAACAAUGAAGUUUAUUAAAAUAAAUCCUCGGUACCCCAACAGAGUUGUUUAAUUCGGGUUUAUAUUGAGGAAUUACAAUAUCUUAUUAGGAACAUACCGACUAUCUUCAAAAUCAGUGUUCUCUGGAUGUACGAUGCUGAUAAAACCAGUCUCCUUUCCGGUAUACAGGGAUUGACCCUAAGAUACAAUUUAAUUAUAAUUCCUUCAAGGUGUUCGUUAUUUUCAUCUUCAAUUAAGAAAAAGAACUUACAGCGAAAGUUCGGUUGUUGCCUAAUGUAAUGAGUGUGGGAAAGGACCUAUCAAUGGUAGAAGCUGCCACAGUUAUUAACCAUGGUGAUGUAUCUUCUACUGUUUGGGGAAUCGGCCCAUCGUUUCCUCCAGAACAAACAACUGUGAUUCCAUUCAUGACAGCAUGGAAAGUUGGAAAACCAACACUGCGCAUAUCAACAUCAGCGUACUGAGGUGUGUUUGUGCCAAGAGAUAGUGAUAGUAUAUCAACUCCAUCAUGAAUUGCUUCAUCAAUGGCCUUUAUUAUAUCCGCAAAGUCACAUCCUCCUGAAGUAGGCCAGUUCCAACACACCUUGUACAUAGCUAUCCGAGCCUUGGGUGCGCCACCCCUAACUGUGCCAUAAGCAAGUCCAUGGUAACUUGCGUUUGGUGCAAAGGAGCCACCUGCGGUGCUUGAUGUGUGUGUGCCAUGACUAUUUUCAUCCCUCGGUGACGCGAACUCAUUCUGAAGGAAACUAGGAUCCUUGAUUAUUGGCCGUCCAACCUCAGCUUCUAAGCCUUUCAGAAAGUAUUUCGCUCCAAUUAGUUUCCUAUUGCAUGCCUUAGCUGGAUCAAAAUCUGCACUAGACUGACAGUGGCCCUUCCAUUUUGAAGGGAUUGGCCCAAGGUCUUUGUCAUUGAAUGCUUCACUUUCUGGCCAUACUCCUGCAUUUUGAGUGAAUAGGUACUAUAGAGGUGAAAAUAUAACACGUGAACUUGUAUAUCGUUUGGUACUUUUACUAUGACUGCAGCGAUUAUUCCUCCUAAUAGAAAUUCCUGUCUUUAAGAAUGCAUUAAUCAAAAGAUUGUUUUUCCAUUUGACCGACACAGAAUCAGUGUUGAAGUAUGCCUCAUGAGCUGUUAACUAAUGCUGAGUUGACAUGAUUACAUGGCUGCUGAUGUGUUUUUUCUGUUUCCAGAAGAUAGAAUUUUCUGUAGUAGUUUUUCAGUUAUGAUUUUCCUAUUAUUUAGGCAUUAGGUAGUUUAGUUUUUUGUGUUACUGCAUUAGUUACUGUAGUUUGUUAGGAUUUUGCUGUAUUUAAACUACUUCUUUGCAGCAUAAUAAAAACAUCUCUCUUUUCCUCUUCAUUUGCUUUAUGUUUUUCCUCUGUAAACAUCUACAAAUUGGUAUCAAAGUCUUACUUCUUAAGGGACUUGUGAGUACUUUUUUUUUUUCUGAGUGUUUAUCCAAAUUUGUGGCUGCAAAACAUCAUUCAAACAAUGGAGAAUGCAGGUUCUUUUUCUGCUAUGGCUCCGCCAGUUUUCAACGGAGAAAAUUAUCAAGCCUGGGCAGUGAAAAUGCAGGCUUAUUUGGAGGCCUGCGAUUUUUGGCAGGGGGGGGCGGGCGACUANNNNNNNNNNNNNNNNNNNNNNNNNNNNNNNNNNNNNNNNNNNNNNNNNNNNNNNNNNNNNNNNNNNNNNNNNNNNNNNNNNNNNNNNNNNNNNNNNNNNNNNNNNNNNNNNNNNNNNNNNNNNNNNNNNNNNNNNNNNNNNNNNNNNNNNNNNNNNNNNNNNNNNNNNNNNNUGAUUGCAAAUAAGGUAAGGAUACUUGGAACUGAACUUAAUGACAAUAGAAUAGUUCAAAAGAUUCUUGUAACCUUACCUGAAAGAUAUGAGGCAACUAUUGCUUCAUUGAAAAAUACUAAAGAUCUGUCAAAGCUUAGCUUGGCAGAGUUAUUGAGUGCUCUGCAGGCACAAGAACAACGAAGGAUGAUGAGGCAAGAGGGAUCCAUUGAGGGAUCCCUACAAGCAAAGUUGCAUCUUGGUUUAGGUAUUGCUAAAGGUAAUAAAGGAAACGAAAAGAAAGGAAGUUAUGGAAACUACGAAGGUACAUCUGCAAAAAAAUGCUACCACCACCGGUAACAACAAAGAAGACAAAUAUCCUCCUUGUCAACAUUGUGGGAGGAGAAAUCAUCCACACUUCAAGUGUUGGAGAAAGCCUAGUAUGAAGUGCCGAAAGUGUCAAAAGCUUGGUCAUGCCGAGAUUACUUGUAAAGAGAAGGGUUUACAACAACAAAAUGAAGCACAAAUUGCAGAUCAAGAACUAGAAGAGCAAUUGUUCGUGGCUACCUGUUACGCAAGCAAAAGUUCAAGUGAAAGCUGGCUUAUUGAUAGUGGUUGUAUGAACCACAUGACCAGUGAUGAAAAGCUUUUUAGAGAGCUUGACAGACCAAUUAAAUCAAGAGUCAAAAUCGAAAAUAGAGAAUAAAUCCCAGCAACAGGAAAGGGAACCGUAGCAAUUGAGAGUUAUAAAGGUACAAAACUUAUUUAUGAAGUUUUAUUUGUUCCUGAACUUGAUCAAAACUUAUUAAGUGUUGGACAACUGCUGGAAAAUGGAUUCAAAUUAUUAUUUGAAGACAAGGUGUGUCUAAUCAGUGAUCUAGUGGUCAGGAAAUGUUCAGAAUUAAAAUGUUGGGGAAAAUUUUUUCCUUAAAUCUAUUAGAUGAGGAACACAUAGCUUUUCCAAGUCAGUCCAUAGUUGCAGAAACGUGGCACAAAAGGUUGGGGCAUUUUGUAACACCCCGUACUUAAUUACGUGCAUUAGCCAUGGUUAUAUGUGUUGGAGUAUAUGUAUUGAUCAUAAGUUAGGUAUAUAUGAGUUUAAGUAUGAGUAUGGAUUAUUUUGAGAGGGUUUCAAGUGUAUAGUUUGAUUAUAUGUGUAUAGGAAUCGACUUUAUUUAUACCGAAAUUUGCUCGUCGAAGUUUCUAUGCGAAGUUUAUCGAGUUAGCUUUCCAAAGAUAUAAAGAUUUCUGAAAACAGAUGAGUAUCAUAUAUAAGCGAGCAUGUUCGAAACUUGAAAACGGAUGACGCAAUGAACAGUAAAUGUGCAGAAAUUUUCUGCACACAAAAGUACUACAGCCAAACAGAUUUUUGGGUCGACUUUAAACGAUCAUAACUCCUUGUAAAAAAAGAACUGUGUGAGCUGCUGUAUAUCGAUGAGAAUUCCUAAGAGUCUUCUUUCUAAUGCAAUUGGUUUCACCCAAAUCCAGUAUCGGAGCAAAGAGUUAUGGUCGAUUUACUUUAGCCUAUCAAAACAGUCCACCAUGGACAGAUUCAGAUUUACUUAAAUUUUAAGGGCAAUGUGGUCAUUUUCCAUCACCUCAUGGACGAAAAUUGGUCAUUAUAUACAUAUACUUAGCCUCAUAUCCAUCAUUUAUCAUCCAAAUUAUUGAAGAAUAAGAAACCCUAGCCUAAGUUCAACUCCAAUUAUCUUGUGAUUCAACCGUAGAAAAUCCAAAUUGAUUCCGUAGUUGUGUUCACCGUCUCGAGGGCUUCGAGAAGCACCCCUUAUUUGUGCCAACAGGACUUCGAAAUCAAAAGGGCCAUUUUAUGGUAAGGAUGUAAAUUAUGUUGGUGUUAUUUAUAUGGAUAUGUAUAUAUAUAUAUAUGCAUGUGAGCAUAAGAAGUAUGUUAUUUGAUUGUUGUUGAAAGAUGAUUGGAAAUGAUGUUGGAUUAUUCUUGUGCAUAGUUGGAUUAUGUUGAAUUGUGAAGGGAUUUGGUGUGAUGAUGUGGUAUUGAAAUGAUGAUUAUAUAUAUAUAUACACAUAAACCGAUUGUUCAAGUUGGUUUUUGGAAUGCUUUGCAAAUAUUGGUUGUAUGGAAUUAUGGAAGAGAAUUGUGGUGUUGGGUUGCUAAUACUAGAUGCCAAACAUUUCAUUGUAGAUAAGUGAUUUGUAAAGGCGGGAAGUUGUGUUGAAUUGGUAUCCGAAUCUACAACGAGGUAUGUAAAGCAUACUCUAACAAUGUUCUUUGGCAUGAAAACACCAAUGUUCCAUCAAGUAAGAUUCCGAGGUUGUCCAAAAACAUGUAUUGUUCUACAUUACCAACGAAGUUGUUUCCAUUCUAUAAAGUGUCAAAAUGUUUCAUUGAUAUACCAAAAGGCUCCUAUUUCAUUGUUGUGAUAUUGAUGAUUCCGAAACACAUUGUUGAUGUACCAAUGAGUCUUUAUUACAUCGUUAUUGUAUAGAAAGUCUAUUACUUGGUUCCUAUUGAUGUAUCAUUAUUCCAAAGGUACUAUAUUGGCAUGAACACUAAUGUAAUAAUCUCAAAAGCUUUUGAACUAAGUUAUUGGAAAGAUCUCUUAUGUGUGUUACUUGAUAUACGUGUGGGUGGUAGCUCAGGGGCUUAAGCCUAGCAUGGGCCGAUCCCGAUAUUUGAUAUGAUUACAGUUGAUAUGUACUGGGGGCAGCCUAAUGGUCACAGUACGGUACAGUAUUGAUUAUUGUUAGGUGGUUGGAGGUUCGGGAGGAGGAGGUAAUGGCGAAUGAUAAUUGUAAAGAAUAAAAUGAACGAAUGUAUACCGUUCCACAAAUGUGUUUGAAUUCAAGAACCCAAUUCAGAUUAAUGAUAAUGUACAUGAUCCUAAAAGUGUUUAUGAAGUGUGGUUCACUUCUAUUAUGAUUUAUUAACUUGCGUCCGAUUUUCUUGAUCCCCCAUAUCACAUAUGAUUAUUUACAGCUUUACAUACUCAGUACAUAUUUCGUACUGAAGUCCCUCACGGGGGACCUGCAUUUCAUGCUGCAAGCACAGGUGCUUCAGCUCAUUCACAACAUUGAUAGGAGCCAGGUCGUACAGCUAUUGUUGGUGAGCUCCAGUUUGCUUCGGAGCUUUCCGAGUCGGUCCCUUAUGUUUUGUUAUUGUACAGGAGUCAUGUGUGGGCGGGGGUUUGUCCCGACCCUAGUUAUGUCAUGUAUAUCCUAGAGGCUUUGUAGACAUAAGGAAGGGUAAAGUCAUGGAAGUUUAUAUAGUGAUGUUAUAUUUGUAUAUGUGGUGGCCCCGACGGCCAAGUAUUAUAUAUAUAUAUUGGUGCGUGUUGUGCUGAUACAGGUAAUUAGACCCUUCUAUAUGCAACGAAGUGCUGUCCAAAUUUUUGGUGACAUGUAAGUGAAAGUACAGGUAUCUGAACGGGUUCUCCCGGGCCUUCUCGGCUUCGGGUGCCAGUCCGGCUCGAUGGGAUUUUGGGGCGUGACACAUUUCCAUCACAAAGAUUUGUUGUUUAUGCAAAUGAGCAAAAUCGUAAAUGGUUUACCAAACUUGGAGAAACAUAUAUCAAGAUGUAGGGCUUGUUUGCUUGGCAAGCAAACUAGACUUCCAUUUAAAAGUUCCACAUGGAGAGCUACAGACAAGUUGCAGCUCAUUCAUACCGAUCUCUGUGGUCCGCAAAGGACUCCGUUGCUUAAUGGCAACAAGUAUUAUAUUAUUUUCAUUGAUGAUCUAACAAGAAUGUGUUGGAUUUAUUUUAUGAAGUUUAAGUACGAAGUUGCUGGAAUUUUCAUGAAGUUCAAAGCUUGGAUAGAGAAUCUGAGUGGCUGCAAGAUUCAGGUCAUUAAAUCAGCUAAUGGAAUUGAAUAUACAUCUGAUAGGUUCAAUUCUUUUUGUGAAGAAGCUGGAAUAGAGCACCAGCUAACUGUCCCUUACUCUCCACAGCAAAAUGGAGUUAGUGAGAAAAAGAAUAGAACAAUCAUGGAGAUGUCAAAAUGUUUGUUGCAGGAGAAAAAUCUGCCGAAAAAGAUUUGGGCAGAAGCAGCAAACACAACUGUUUUCUUGCUGAAUAAACUGCCUACGCGGGCAGUGGAAGGGAAGAAUCCAUUCGAGGCAUGGUAUGGUUUCAAACCUGAUUUUAAAAACCUCAAGAUAUUUGGAUGUCUAUGUUUCUUUUAUGUUCCACAGGUUAAGAGAGACAAGUUAGAUAAGAAGGCAGAUUUGGGAAUCUUCAUUGGCUAUAGCUUAUUGUCUAAAGCUUACAGGAUCUUUCAACCUCAAUCGGGCAAGAUUAUGGUAAGUAGAGAUGUUCAAUUCCUUGAAGAUGAGCAAUGGGACUGGAAUUUUGAGGAUUCUCGAGUUUCGAAUAACAAUGCAAAGUUUGAUGAAUUGGUGGAUGAUCAACCUAUUAGCUGAACGAGGUCACUCUCUGAUAUUUAUCAGAGGUGCAAUGUUGCUAUUUUUGAACCUGCAGGAUACGAGGAAGCAAAAAUUGAUCAAAAAUAGAUAGAUGCAAUGAAGGAAGAUCUGUCCAUGAUAGAAAAGAACCAAACUUGGAAGCUAGUAGAAAGACCGCAAGACAGAAAAAUGAUUGGAGUUAAAUAGAUUUUUCGAACAAAGCUCAAUCCAGAUGGCUCGAUAAACAAGCACAAAGCUAGAUUGGUGGUGAAGGGCUACACACAAGUUUGGGGAGUAGAUUUUUUUGAUAUUUUUGCCCCGGUAGCUUGAUUGGAUACAAUUCAAAUGCUUUUGGCAAUAGCGACACAGAAAAGUUGGAAGAUUUUUCAAAUGGACGUGAAGUCUGCUUUCUUGAAUGGUCUACUACAAGAGGAAAUAUAUGUUGAGUUGCCAGAAGGGUUUAGUGUACCAGGAAGUGAAAAUAUGGUUUAUCUGUUAAAGAAAGCUUUAUACGGGUUAAAGCAACCUCCUAGAGCUUGGUAUAGCCGUAUGGAUAACCAUUUACUAGACUUAGGCUUCGAAAGAAGCUUAAGUGAAUCGACUCUUUAUGUCAAGAAAGUUGGCUCUAACAUUAUUAUUAUUUCUCUGUAUAUUGAUGAUUUACUUGUGACAGGAAAUAAUAUAGCAUUGAUUGAAGAAUUCAAGGAGGAGAUGAUGAAAGUCUUUGAGAUGACCGAUCUUGGAGAGAUGACCUAUUUUCUAGGAAUGGAGAUUAAGCAAACUCAGAAUGAAGUGUUUGUUUGUCAAAAGAAAUACAUGACGGAGAUUCUAAAAAGAUUUAGAAUAGAAGAAUACAAGAGUAUGAACACGCCUAUGAAUUAAAGAGAGAAGCUAAUGAAGGAUGAUGGUGCUAAACGAGUACAAGAAGGAAGCUACAGGAGCUUGAUAGGAUGUUUGAUGUAUCUUAUAGCAACAAGACUAGAUAUAUUGUAUGUUGUAAGUGUACUAUCCCGCUUUUUGAAUUCUCCAAGUGAAUUGCAUAUGAAAGCUGCAAAAAGAGUGCUCAGAUAUGUCAAAUGCACCAUAGAUUAUGGAGUCAAAUUUAGCAAGUGUCAGAAUUUCAAACUUCAGGGAUUUUCUGACAGUGAUUGGGGUGGUUCUGCUGAUGAUAUCAAAAGUACUUCAGGGUACUGUUUUAUUUUUGGCGCUGGAUGUUUUUCUUGGUGUUCGAAAAAACAAGAGAUUGUUGCUCAAUCAACUACAGAGGCAGAAUUCAUUGUUGCGACAGCUACGGUCAAUCAAGCUUUAUGGAUAAGGUAAAUCUUUUGUGAUCUUGGUUUGGAGAUGAAGGAAAGCACUGAGAUAUUUGUGGACAACCAGGCUGUCAUUGCUAUUUCUCACAAUCCAGUCUUUCAUAGAAAGACCAAGCACUUCAAUGUGAAGCUAUAUUUUCUAAGAGAAGUGCAAAAGGGUGGUCUAGUGAAUCUGGUAUAUUGCAGAACGGAAGAGCAGCUGGCUGAUAUUUUUACGAAAGCUCUUCCAGCAAGCAAAUUUGAAUUCUUGAGAAGCAAACUUGGAAUUUGCAGCUCUUGACGCAAGGAGGAGUGUUGAAGUAUGUCUCAUGAGCUGUUAACUAAUGCUGAGUUGGCAUGAUUACAUGGCUGUUGAUGUGUUUUUUCUGUUUCCAGAAGAUUGAAUUUUCUGUAGUAGUUUUUCAGUUAUGAUUUUCCUAGUCUUUAGGCAUAUAGCUGUCGGUGGACUUAGUUCCUAUUAAUUAGGUAGUUCAGUUUUUUGUGUUACUACAUUAGUUACUGCAGUUUGUUAGGAUUUUGCUGUAUUUAAACAGCUUCUUUGCAGCAUAAUAAAAACAUCUCUCUUUUCCUCUUCAUUUGUUUUAUGUUUUUCCUCUGUAAACAUCUACAAUCAUGGAAAGAGAGAGAGGAAAACCUGAAUCAAGGACACCUAUGAUGAUACCAUCUCCCAUGUUGGCUUCUUGAAGGAGGUUCGUUGGAGGAGAAGAUGUGGACAGACCAAGGUAAUCCCAGCUUCUUGUUGUGUGUAACUUGUACAAGUGAUUUGGAAUCACAUGGACCACAUCAGGUAACUCUGCAACAAAGUCAAUGAGUGAUAAGCAUAACUAUAGUGUGUCAUCAUCUAUAACCUUUUCAAAGUCCUACUUAACUAGCUAGAAUUAGAGAAAGGUGCUCCACAUUUUUUAACCUGCUAUCUUUUUGGCUUGAGAUUUUGUUAACUUGGCAGCGAAACCGGAGAAACCAUGUUUAUAACUGUAGAUGAUUGAAUCUUUUGCUGCCUCAGGACUGUUUUAGGAGAAAACAUAAAGUUGUGAACC